CCGGCACGGGUGGAGUAACACGUAUGCAAUCCACCCUGUAACAGGGGAGUAACCCGGAGAAAUCCGACUAAUACCCAUAAUAUGGGCGCUCCGCAUGGAGAGCCCAUUAAAGAGAGCAAUUUUGGUUACAGACGAGCAUGCGCUCCAUUAGCCAGUUGGCGGGGUAACGGCCCACCAAAGCGACGAUGGAUAGGGGUUCUGAGAGGAAGGUCCCCCACAUUGGAACUGAGACACGGUCCAA
rnacentral:rRNA from 1 species